rnacentral:rRNA from 1 species
GUCGUACGCUUCUUUUUCCACCGGAGCUUGCUCCACCGGAAAAAGAAGAGUGGCGAACGGGUGAGUAACACGUGGGUAACCUGCCCAUCAGAAGGGGAUAACACUUGGAAACAGGUGCUAAUACCGUAUAACAAUCGAAACCGCAUGGUUUUGAUUUGAAAGGCGCUUUCGGGUGUCGCUGAUGGAUGGACCCGCGGUGCAUUAGCUAGUUGGUGAGGUAACGGCUCACCAAGGCCACGAUGCAUAGCCGACCUGAGAGGGUGAUCGGCCACAUUGGGACUGAGACACGGCCCAAACUCCUACGGGAGGCAGCAGUAGGGAAUCUUCGGCAAUGGACGAAAGUCUGACCGAGCAACGCCGCGUGAGUGAAGAAGGUUUUCGGAUCGUAAAACUCUGUUGUUAGAGAAGAACAAGGAUGAGAGUAACUGUUCAUCCCUUGACGGUAUCUAACCAGAAAGCCACGGCUAACUACGUGCCAGCAGCCGCGGUAAUACGUAGGUGGCAAGCGUUGUCCGGAUUUAUUGGGCGUAAAGCGAGCGCAGGCGGUUUCUUAAGUCUGAUGUGAAAGCCCCCGGCUCAACCGGGGAGGGUCAUUGGAAACUGGGAGACUUGAGUGCAGAAGAGGAGAGUGGAAUUCCAUGUGUAGCGGUGAAAUGCGUAGAUAUAUGGAGGAACACCAGUGGCGAAGGCGGCUCUCUGGUCUGUAACUGACGCUGAGGCUCGAAAGCGUGGGGAGCAAACAGGAUUAGAUACCCUGGUAGUCCACGCCGUAAACGAUGAGUGCUAAGUGUUGGAGGGUUUCCGCCCUUCAGUGCUGCAGCUAACGCAUUAAGCACUCCGCCUGGGGAGUACGACCGCAAGGUUGAAACUCAAAGGAAUUGACGGGGGCCCGCACAAGCGGUGGAGCAUGUGGUUUAAUUCGAAGCAACGCGAAGAACCUUACCAGGUCUUGACAUCCUUUGACCACUCUAGAGAUAGAGCUUCCCCUUCGGGGGCAAAGUGACAGGUGGUGCAUGGUCGUCGUCAGCUCGUGUCGUGAGAUGUUGGGUUAAGUCCCGCAACGAGCGCAACCCUUAUUGUUAGUUGCCAUCAUUCAGUUGGGCACUCUAGCAAGACUGCCGGUGACAAACCGGAGGAAGGUGGGGAUGACGUCAAAUCAUCAUGCCCCUUAUGACCUGGGCUACACACGUGCUACAAUGGGAAGUACAACGAGUCGCGAAGUCGCGAGGCUAAGCUAAUCUCUUAAAGCUUCUCUCAGUUCGGAUUGUAGGCUGCAACUCGCCUACAUGAAGCCGGAAUCGCUAGUAAUCGCGGAUCAGCACGCCGCGGUGAAUACGUUCCCGGGCCUUGUACACACCGCCCGUCACACCACGAGAGUUUGUAACACCCGAAGUCGGUGAGGUAACCUUUUGGAGCCAGCCGCCUAAGGUGGGAUAGAUGA